AUUCAGGAAACAUUCAACGCUGUCGGUGAGUUUGGGAAUGAGUGUGAAACCAUCGGCCGUUGAGUGUACCCUGAAG
rnacentral:pre_miRNA from 1 species